AAACUCGCGAUGGUUUGUAAAAGGAAGCCUGAAUACACAAAAUGAUUUUGAACAGCUUCAGAUGGCCUGCAAAUGAGCUACGAGACUAUGGUCAAGAAUGUCACAAAGACCAUGAAUUAAGGGGGGGGUUAGCACGAUAUAACAAAACCCAUUGGUUCGCGAGAUACGGUAAAUGACAAGUCAAUGUAGAGACAGUUCGCUCU
rfam:Methyloprofundus sedimenti strain WF1 Contig001, whole genome shotgun sequence.